rnacentral:rRNA from 1 species
UACGGGGGGGGCAAGCGUUGUUCGGAAUUACUGGGCGUAAAGGGCUCGUAGGCGGCCAACUAAGUCAGACGUGAAAUCCCUCGGCUUAACCGGGGAACUGCGUCUGAUACUGGAUGGCUUGAGUUUGGGAGAGGGAUGCGGAAUUCCAGGUGUAGCGGUGAAAUGCGUAGAUAUGUGGAGGAACACCGAUGGCGAAGGCAGCCCCCUGGGUUAACACUGACGCUCAUGCACGAAAGCGUGGGGAGCAAACAGG